rnacentral:lncRNA from 1 species
GUCUUGGGAUCCUGCAGGGGGAGGGGGCUGUGAAUGUGCGGGUUGUGUGUAGACGUGGUGUGGAUAGCUGUGUGGGUGUGUGUGCAAGUGUAGCCAUGGUGUGGGUAGCCGUGUGGGUAUAUGCAUAGGGUAUGAGUGCUGGGUGUAGACGUGGCAUAGGUGUGUGUGCAGGUCUGUUGGGUGUAGACAUGGUAGUGCGGGUAGCUGUGUGGGUGUAUGUGCAAGUGUAGACAUGGCGUGGGGGAGUGUAGGUGUUGGGCCUCUGGUAGUGUGGGUGUGUGCAGGUGUGGGGUGGUGUGGGUGCAGACGUCUGGGGGGUUGUGUGCGGGUGUUGGGUAUCCAUGUGGUGUGGGGGUGUGUAGACGUGUAUACAGGUGUGAGUGCAGGUGUAGACGGCGUAUGUGCAGGUGUUGCGUGUCUGGUGUGGGUAGUUGGGGUGCGUGCAGGUAUGUGUGUUGUGUGUAGACGUGUGGGUAGCUGUGGGGGUGUGCAGGUGUGUGUACUGGGUAUAGACGUGGCAUGGGUUGCUGGGUGUGUGCAGGUGUUGGGUGUUUGCAGGUAAGUGUUGGGGGCGGGCGUGGUGGUGUUUGCAGGUGAGGGGUGUAGGCGUGUGUGCAGGUGAGUGUUGGGUGUGGGCGUGGUGGUGUGUGCAGGUGAGUGUUGGGCGCGGGCGCGGUGGUUUGUGCAGGUGAGUGUUGGGUGCGGGCAUGGUGGUUGCAGGUGAGUGUUGGGUGUAGGCGUGGUGGUGUGUGCAGGUGAGUGUUGGGCGUAGGCGUGGUGGUUGCAGGUGAGUGUUGGGCAUGGGCGCGGUGUGUGCAGGUGAGUGUUGGGCGCGGGCGUGGUGGUGUGUGCAGGUGAGUGUUGG